UAAAGCAUCCUACAAAGAUGUUGUGAGAAGAUACUACAGAAGCAGAAAGUGUUCCCAUUGUGACAUCACUUUUGGUGAGCAGAACAAACGAGCACUGAGAAAUUUAAGGGGAGGAGCAGAAGUGUUAGAAGGAAGGUAGACAGCUGUCAACAAUACAAUCAUUUCCAAAUUGCUCUUGUAAGCAAGACAAAGCAGCUGGACAGGGGAGAGAUGAGUUGAGAUCCUAUAGUGAUCAGCAUCACAGGGCCAUGUGUCCUUACAGGAGCCUGCUCUGUCAUGGGGUUCCUGUGGGCUGCAGUUUGUUAAUACUGGAAAAGCAAUUGGACAGUGGGGCCUCCUCAUUCUUGGCACUAUUUCAAAAGCAACUUGAAAUGCCCUGACAGCAGUUCUUCUCACAAAGUAACGUGAAGGUUGUGACACGGACCAACAAAAGGCUGACACACUGUCGU